rnacentral:rRNA from 1 species
AUUGAACGCUGGCGGCAUGCCUUACACAUGCAAGUCGAACGGUAACGGGCCUUCGGGUGCCGACGAGUGGCGCACGGGUGCGCAAUACAUCGGAACGUGCCCGAUCGUGGGGGAUAACGAGGCGAAAGCUUUGCUAAUACCGCAUACGAUCUACGGAUGAAAGCCGGGGACCGCAAGGCCUUGCGCGGACGGAGCGGCCGAUGGCAGAUUAGGUAGUUGGUGGGAUAAAAGCUUACCAAGCCGACGAUCUGUAGCUGGUCUGAGAGGAUGAUCAGCCACACUGGGACUGAGACACGGCCCAGACUCCUACGGGAGGCAGCAGUGGGGAAUUUUGGACAAUGGGCGCAAGCCUGAUCCAGCCAUGCCGCGUGCAGGAUGAAGGCCUUCGGGUUGUAAACUGCUUUUGUACGGAACGAAAAGCCUUCUUUUAAUACAGGAGGGUCAUGACGGUACCGUAAGAAUAAGCACCGGCUAACUACGUG